GUCGGGGGUUUAGAAGGUGGGCGCGAUGUUGGAGCCGGGAACCCUCCCUCGGAGCCCCUGGCCCGAGUUGCGCAGAGCCUGCGGCAACAGGCCACCCGAAAGUGUCCGAGCGCCUCGCGGGACUGCGUCGAGGGAAACAGUGUCCCUUGAAAGUGCGACGGAGGGGAGAAGGAGGUGUGAUUAAUAUGAGCAUCUGGGAGCGUGGAGCAGGGCCUGCAGUACUUCCUACCACUGGCCUUCCGUGUUCUGGAUCAUUCUUACUGGAUCUAUCAGCAAACAGCAUGCAAGUGCCAGCGUCCAAUCAUUCCUGCAUGGAAUGCCAUCAGACUUCCUCAGUUGGAGUUACUUAAAAGUUAAAUUGUUGGGAUUUUUGAUAAUGCCUUUCCCAUGUGGAUUACUACAAUUUGAUGGCUCAGGAACUCUCCACUCAGAAGGUGACCUGACCGCAGAAGUGCUAACUCCUGUUUAUUCAGGAAAGACUUCCGACUGGGGAAGACUUCCAGGUGUGAAUCAUGAGAGAGCGGAGAGGCCUGUGAUUUACGUUUUGGAGGGCAUGCCUGAGUGUGAUUAAGGGAUUUAAGUGCAGGACUCUAAGAUUUACUUCCUUCCUGUUCCAGCAGGGUUACCUGAAGGAGUGAGUAAUGGGGUAAUUUAUAACACCACAGGCUCUUUGUCAAGACCACUAGUCAAAACAGGAAGAUCAAACUCAGGUUUCAAUGGGCAGACUACAACUUUUGAUACUCUCUGGACAUCCUUCUUAAUUAUAAGUGGAAGAUCUUCAAGAAUUUUCCUAAGGAGAUGUCCAAAGGUGCAGCAUUUCUGGUUCCUUCGAGAGGGUGAGGAGAGCCUGCAGGCAUGCUGUGCACCUCUGCAAUUGCUAGUCCCAGGGUCACAGCAAGUGGAAGUGCAGAGCACCACAAACUGCUUUGAGCAGAGCCCACUUCCUUCAUCCCGGAGAGCAUGGAGCCGUUACACCAACAUCAAUCAAGGGGGACCCAGGCGCUGCACUCACACAGUUGAAGCAGGGGAGCAAAUCGAAGACUCACCCAGGAGCAGAGUGCUUUUGAGACAGAGGAAGAAGACAAAACAGCUCCCAGCUCAGCUUCUCUUGCCAUAUUCAGGAAUCACCACACGUGCUGUUAUAUUGGGCCUCAUUUUGUUUCCCUUUCCCCAACACCUGUGUGCUGUGCUUGUGGUGAGUCUUCACAGCCAAGUACAAUUUUUCCAGUUCAACUCCACUGAUCACUAUCAACAAGAAAGUGUAAGGCCAUCACUGUAUUGGAAAAUUGUCUGUCCCUGAUCAUGGACUUAAAAACUGAACUGGCUUUGAGUGAGUUGCUUCUCCUUCAGUGAAUUGUGG
rnacentral:lncRNA from 1 species